AGCGAACGCUGGCGGCAGGCCUAACACAUGCAAGUCGAACGAACUCUUCGGAGUUAGUGGCGGACGGGUGAGUAACACGUGGGAACGUGCCUUUAGGUUCGGAAUAACUCAGGGAAACUUGUGCUAAUACCGAAUGUGCCCUUCGGGGAAAGAUUUAUCGCCUUUAGAGCGGCCCGCGUCUGAUUAGCUAGUUGGUGAGGUAAAGGCUCACCAAGGCUACGAUCAGUAGCUGGUCUGAGAGGAUGACCAGCCACAUUGGGACUGAGACACGGCCCAAACUCCUACGGGAGGCAGCAGUGGGGAAUCUUGCGCAAUGGGCGAAAGCCUGACGCAGCCAUGCCGCGUGGAUGAUGAAGGUCUUAGGAUUGUAAGAUCCUUUCACCGGUGAAGAUAAUGACUGUAGCCGGAGAAGAAGCCCCGGCUAACUUCGUGCCAGCAGCCGCGGUAAU
rnacentral:rRNA from 1 species